rnacentral:lncRNA from 1 species
UUUUUGGGAUCGUUGUAGCUUAAUCCAGCUAGCCCGAGGACUAAUUUGCAAAAUGGUUAAACUGUUAGGCCAGGCGACACGGCCGUGUGUCUCCUAUUGCAUUCAAAGGGUUGCAAGUCAAGAUGUCACAUUGCCUAGCACAGGGCAUGUGGGGUUAUUUUGAAGGGUACACUGUGUGGCCCAAGUUAGUGAGUCACCCGGCUG